UAACGCGAAGAACCUUACCAAAUCUUGACAUCCUCAUGACCAUCAUUUAACCAUGAUUUCCCUUCGGGGUAUGAGUGACAGGUGGUGCACGGUUGUCGUCAGCUCGUGUCGUGAGAUGUUGGGUUAAGUCCCGCAACGAGCGCAACCCUUGUCUUUAGUUGUCAUCAAGUAAUGUUGGACCCUCUAGAGAGACUGCCGGUGAUAAACCGGAGGAAGGUGGGGAUGACGUCAAAUCAUCAUGCCCCUUAUGAUUUGGGCUACACACGUGCUACAAUGGUCGGUACAACAGGCAGUGAAAGGGUAACCUGGAACGAAUCCUCUAAAGCCGAUCUCAGUUCGGAUUGUGGGCUGCAACUCGCCCACAUGAAGUUGGAGUUGCUAGUAAUCGUGAAUCAGAAUGUCGCGGUGAAUGCGUUCCCGGGUCUUGUACACACGC
rnacentral:rRNA from 1 species